GUCAGCUCGUGUCGUGAGAUGUGGUUAAGUCCGCAACGAGCGCAACCCUACGUUAGUUGCUAACGCGUGAAGGCGAGCACUCUAGACGAACUGCCGUUGACAAAACGGAGGAAGGUGGGGAUGACGUCAAAUCAUCAUGCCCCUUAUGUUCUGGGCUACACACGUGCUACAAUGGCCGGUACAGACGGACGCAAAGCCGCGAGGUGGAGCAAAUCCUAAAAAGCCGGUCUCAGUUCGGAUUGCAGGCUGCAAUUCGCCUGCAUGAAGUCGGAAUCGCUAGUAAUCGCAGGUCAGCAUACUGCGGUGAAUACGUUCCCGGGCCUU
rnacentral:rRNA from 1 species